rnacentral:lncRNA from 10 species
UUCUAGCUCCUCUUCUCAUUAGUGAUGUAAUUCCCUCAGGAAUCUCCUCAUAAAGAAAGACAUCUGUUUCCAUUUUCUUCUUAGAGGAACAGGAUCUCUAUACAUCAUUGAAUAGAUUAGUGUCAUGAGUGUUAGCACUUUCCAUGAAGCACAAUCCCAAAGACCAUGAAAAAUUGAGAUCCGCAGAGGAGAGGAUGGAAAGUGUUUCCCCCACACCACAGGGUGUUUUACUGCUGCUGCUGCUGUUUAAGGCUACUCUACCACUUGCAAGCUGCUGUUUCUGACCUUCUGGAGUUUGGAGGAAGGAAGAAAAGAAAAAGAAGAAAAGAAAGUUUUUAUUUUACUGUUGCAUCUUUUCAACAAAGUUGACUCUCUCCCUACAAAGGAAAGUUUGUAUCAGCUACUGAGAAGACUUGGACUGGAACUUACUUCACCAGAUCUCAUGGUUCUUGGGCCUUCAGACUCAGGUUGGAACUAUGCUAUCAGCUUUCCUGGAUCUCCAGCUUGCUGACUACACAAUCUAGGACUUCUCAGCCUUUGUAAUUGUGAAUACUUCUAUGAUUAUGUGAAGAAGCCUGGGCUAGCCUGCUGAAGGAUGAAGGACCAUGUAGAAAGCAGCCUCAGCUAUUCCAGUUGAGUCACCAGACGUGUGAAUGAGAUGAUCCUAUACAUCAGCCUCAGCUUAGUUGCCUUUGCCAGAAUUUCUCAACCAAACCUAAGUAUUAUGAAAAGUAAUAAUUAUUUGUUAAAUUUGGCCAAUACAUAGUACAUCUUGGGGUGGAUUGUUACCAGUUAGCCAACACUAAGUGGUAUACCAUGUCAUGCUAUACUUAUUUCUUUUCCUUAGGAAAUUGACAAAGUGUUUUACUGAUGUUAACUUGGAAUGCAUUUAAAGACAAAAAAAGGAAAACCUUAAUCCAACAUUGACAUUUCAUUCCUGCAUCUUUAAUGGUUUGAUCAGAAUAAUCAGUGACUCAUAAUUAUAAUGGAUGCAUAAGUGGGCACAUUUUGAUAUUAAAAAAGUGAGGUAAUAUACACAUUACUAAAUAUGAUAAUGCUAGUGAUUUUCCUACUCAACUUAUGUUUAAGGACAUGUCACCAAUAGUGGUAUUCAACUUCAUUUGAAAUUCAAAACAUUAAAGUUAAUUUUUAAACAUUUUUAUUGAGUUGAAGCUAGAGAGUUGAAGAAAAAAUAAGAAAAUUAAGAUUUCACUUCAUAUACAUGUAAUGGAUGUAUUUUGUGGUAAUGCAGUUUUAGUGUUUAGACCACUAUGAAACUAGUAAGAUAGUGGUUUUAAGUGUUGAUCUAGUUAUUUUGAACCUAUAGCUUUGAAAAUGCAUGAAGCUCAUUUUAACAUAAAAUAUAUGGUUUUAAGAUGAAUUCUUCCUCAUAUUGCAUUCUUUCCUCCCUCUACCAGUUUCCUCUCUAUAGGUAUUUGUAUAUAUAUUGACUCUUAGACAAAUUGAGUAGAUAUUAUAUCUGAGUCAACAAAUGUGUAUAUAGACACAUGAACACUAAGAAAGGGCAUUAACAUUUCUAAAAUACGUCAGAUGUACUGACAUAA